UUACGGCCAUAUCAUGUUGAAAUACCGGUUCCCAUACGAUUGCCGAAGUUAAGCAACCUUGACAGCAGCUAGAUGGGUGAUCGCUUGGGAAUACCAUGUGCUGUAAG